GCACCCGUAGUGAAAUGGACAUCACGCGACGCUUCGAACGUCGUAUUCCAGGUUCGAAUCCUGGCGGGUGCACCA
rnacentral:tRNA from 3 species